CUAAUACAUGCAGUCGAGCGGACCGACGGGAGCUGUGCUCCCUUAGGUCAGCGGCGGACGGGUGAGUAACACGUGGGUAACCUGCCUGUAAGACUGGGAUAACUCCGGGAAACCGGGGCUAAUACCGGAUGCUUGAUUGAACCGCAUGGUUCAAUUAUAAAAGGUGGCUUUUAGCUACCACUUACAGAUGGACCCGCGGCGCAUUAGCUAGUUGGUGAGGUAACGGCUCACCAAGGGAACGAUGCGUAGCCGACCUGAGAGGGUGAUCGGCCACACUGGGACUGACACACGGCCCAGACUCCUACGGGAGGCAGCAGUACGGAAUCUUCCGCAAUGGACGAAAGUCUGACGGAGCAACGCCGCGUGAGUGAUGAAGGAUUUCGGAUCGUAUCACUCUGUUGUUAGUGAAGA
rnacentral:rRNA from 1 species